rnacentral:rRNA from 1 species
GACGAACCGUGCGAACGUUGUUCGGAAUCACUGGGCUUAAAGGGCGCGUAGGCGGGUGCUCAAGUCUGUGGUGAAAUCCUCCGGCUCAACCGGAGAACUGCCAUGGAUACUGGGUGUCUCGAGGGUGGUAGGGGUAUGCGGAACUAUCGGUGGAGCGGUGAAAUGCGUUGAUAUCGAUAGGAACUCCGGUGGCGAAGGCGGCAUACUGGACCACAUCUGACGCUGAGGCGCGAAAGCCAGGGGAGCAAACGGG